rnacentral:rRNA from 1 species
UACGGAGGGGGCGAGCGUUAUUCGGAAUUAUUGGGCGUAAAGGGCGCGUAGGCGGCUGUACAAGUCAAAGGUGAAAUCCCUCGGCUCAACUGAGGAACUGCCUUUGAAACUGUACGGCUUGAGGCCGGGAGGGGGUAGCGGAAUUCCCAGUGUAGUGGUGAAAUGCGUAGAGAUCGGCAGGAACACCCAGGGGGAAACCAGCCGACUGGGCAUUUGCUGACGCUGAGGUGCGAGAGCGUGGGGAGCGAACCGG